rnacentral:rRNA from 1 species
CCUACGGGAGGCAGCAGUGGGGAAUCUUAGACAAUGGGCGAAAGCCUGAUCUAGCCAUGCCGCGUGAGUGAAGAAGGCCUUAGGGUCGUAAAGCUCUUUCGCCAGGGAUGAUAAUGACAGUACCUGGUAAAGAAACCCCGGCUAAAUCCGUGCCAGCAGCCGCGGUAAU